rnacentral:tRNA from 1 species
GAAGGUAUAGCUUAAAUGGUAGAGUGCAUGCUUAGCAUGAACAAGGUCCUGAGGUCUUGGGUUCAAUCCCUGGUACCUCCU